CCUGCACAACAAAAUGCCAUUAAUCAAUCUGAACAUUACACAACCUCAUGUCAAACUUAAUCUGCAGUUCAGAGUUUUAAUUAUAAAAUGUUUCACGUAAUACAAAAUGUUCUGAACAAGACAGUGAAGAGACUCUAGAAGUUCAGAUAAAAACACCUGACAGCACAUAUUUUAAAGUACUCGAUGCUCCAGAAAUAUUUUAACACCGAAAACAGCAUUUUUCCAACGUCUCCUGUUUCUAGAGGCCAGCAUUACUUGGAAGUUGUGGCGAUCCCAACACCAAACCAUGGAACCUUGGGCCCCAACUUCAUCCAGCUCAGAGAUUCUUGAGGGGAGAAGCCGGCAUGGGGGCGGGGGGGAUGGCAGGAGUCACAGAAAUUAAACCUAAUUGCGUAUCACGUUAAAAUGCACCCGGAGGAAAUGUAAAUGCUUUGUCUAAUUUCAUCACUUGGCGAUUAAGCUGUUACACGGCGGUACACAGCCAAGUCUGUAAGUUGUCAAAGAUACUAACUCUCCGUGUGAGCCGAGAGCAGCGCCUCUGCGUGAGCGCAGGCUGGAGACCUGGGAGCUGGCCUGAGGCCUCUGCCCCAGGGAAGAGCGGCCGAGGGGACCUUCCCAACCCUUUCCCUGCCUUCGCGUUUGUUGGCAAAUGUGAGGACCGCCGAAGCAGCACAACAGGUAGAAGGAAUUCCACUGUAAUACUCUACUUCUGUGUCUGUCUGAAAUUUCCCCACAACAAGCUUUUUAAAAUAUGCCUCUUCAGGGCAUGAAAAGCUAGCAAGCAAGCCUGCUAAAUUUGGUGGCUGCCAAAAAGGCACUGGUGGAACUCCUUAGCUGGGAACUGCCUCUUAGGAAGGCUGCAGGCUGGAGAGGAGGCAACAAGCAGCCCAGGGAAGCUGGGCCUGGCACCUGUGUGCGGGUCUGCUGCCACCAGAGUUGCCCGCAAGAUUUUCAUUAUAAAACAUUUUCCUGGGCCAUGCUGUUCCACUCCCAACCACCAGUGUCCACAAGGCCCCAUCUGCCGUGCAACAGACCCACCACCCACCAGAGCCACCCAGAGAAGUCCUGGCCAAAACAAACCUCCAGCCGACAGGACUCUCAGCAAUAAACACACACGUGGACAGGGAAAUCAGCCCUCUCCACAGAACCAAAAAGGAUAUCCCUUCUGAGGCUGAAAUCCAGCAGCUAAUGGGAGCCCCACAACAUAACCAGGGUUUCCACUGAGAGGAACUGGCUUUGUAUUUUGCUGAAAGACAAUGCAGAAAUGCCCCCAAUAAUUCUCAUUUUAAUAAGGAAAUAGGGUGAAAAUAAAAUGCUUUUCACAGUAAAAUCUGGGAUUUCCAACAAAUGAAAGAAUUUCUCCCCCUACUCAGAACUAUAAAUAUAUCUGCUGAGUGUAGGAGUACAUCAUUCUAUAAAAGAAUGAGCUUGUAUGGAAGAGAAUCUUACUCCCAGAAAGGAAAAAGAUACAAGGACUCUGCCUGAUUUUGCUACAAACACAUGCUACAUAAAGCCCUUUGUUUAGUACAAGUGGGUAGAUGGUAAGACUUCUAAACAGAUUUUUUUUCACUAGGAAGUUAUUUUUUUACUUGCGAUUAAAUAUGUGUACAAAAGUGAUCAAACUUACCUGAAUAAAAUGAAUUUCAAACUUC